rnacentral:lncRNA from 1 species
UGAGGGCUUUUGGGUAUUUCAUGUAGUUAAUACCAUUUUGCUGGAUUCAACAAGGACUUACCUUACAUUAUGUUACAUGUACUCUUAGGGCAAGGUCCCAGAGUUUUAUUAGUUCUGUCACUAUAAAUUUAUACUAACAGAACAUGUACUAACUAAAAAGAACAAGGUUUUCAUUUUUCAUUAUCAAAUACUGUAACCAGGCAACCAGGAAUUUGAUUAGAAUCUGCUGUUUGCUUGGCACACAAUCUUACUGACCUCAUAGGCCUCCACCAACAAGGUUAGAGAUUCCUGUGCCAACAUCAUACUGUUCUAGAAUUACUGGAUCUCUUAUGCUAGGGCUGCUGGUCAAACCUGAGUUCCUGAAACCUUUAACCCUACUCAGCCAAUACAACCGAUAACAUUCCUGAAGAGACAGAGUCUUGUUCUGUCGUGCAUGCUGGCGUACAGUGCCACAAUCACAGCUCACCGCAGCUUCCAACUUCUGGACUCACAUGAUCCUUCUGCCUCAGACUUCCAAGUACUUGGGACUACAGUCACGAAUCACCACAGCCAGCUUGGAGUGACUUUCUAAGGGAUUCCAUCCAAGUUACCACAUUAUAUUUGUUAAUCACGUGUUCUUUGGCUUCUCUUGUUUGUGACAGUUUCUCAGACUUCUGUUUUGCUUUGUUCUCAAUAACCUUGACAGUUUUGAGGAGUAGUGAUAAGAAAGUUACUAUGCGCAGACCACUCUUAGGGAGUGAAGAAUUAUGAUGCCCCUCCUUGAGAAUGGAGUACUUACAUAAAUUACUUGGGACUCUUCUGCAUAGGAGGGUCUUGCUCAGGCUGGAGUACACUGGUGCAAUCAUGGCUCCCUGCAGCCUCAACCUCCUGGGAUCAAGCAAUCCUCCCACCUCAGCCUCCCAAGUAGCUGGGACUACAGGUGCAUGCUAUUAUACCCAGCUAAUUUUUUAAAUUUUUUGUAGAGACAAGGUCUCACUAUGUUUCCCAGGCUGGUCUUGAACGCCUGGGCUCAAACAAUUCCCCUACCUUGGUUUCCCAAAGUGCUGGCAUGAGCCACUGUGCCCAGACUCAUUAUUUAUUAAACUAUUUUGUGGCUCAAAUUGUUCUAGCAUUGGUCACUGGGAGCUCUUUCCAUUGGCUUCUCUGUCCCUUUGAUGUACCUACAUCAUUGUGCUUAUGAAUUAUUUAAAAUUAUGUUUAUUUUUAUAAUUCCUUACUUUCUGGCACUACAAGAUGCUCAAGAUUUAUCUUAUUUCCUGCCCCAUUUUUGGAAUUGACCAUUUCUCCAAAGAGCCCUGGUUCCUUUAAUUAAACAGUACUAAAUAUAAAUGAAUAUAUUUCAGCAUAUUAGAAACCAAGAUCUGAGCCAGGCAUGGUGGCUCAUGCCUGUACUCCCAGCACUUUGGUAGGCUGAAGCAGAAGGAUCACUUGAAUCCAGGAAUUUAAGGCUGCAGUGAGCCAUAAUCAUGCCAUUGUACUGGUGAUAGAGUGCCUGGGUGAUAGAGUGAGACCCUGCCUCAAAAAUAAAAUAAAAUAAAAUAAAAUAAAUAACUGAAUAGCUUUCCAUGUUUCCAUGACAGUUUUAAUCACAUUUAAUCUUUUAAUGUUUGAAAUUAUGCAUUUGCAGAAUUAUUUGAGCCUAGAGUAUACUGGAGGCAAUUCUUUGACACAUUUUUCAUGGUAUUGGUUUAUUCAGUUCUUCUAUUUUGUUCCUGUGUCAAGUUUUGAAGCUAAAAUUUCCAGAAAAUCGUGAGGACAGCCAGCAGUCUUGAAAAAUUGAGUUAAUAUAAAGUAUAGAAUAUGAAAGUAGCUCAAUGCCUUCUCAGUGGUUCUUCUUUGUACUCAAUACUGCUAACUUCUAGAACUAUUUGUGUCUAUUCAGUGCUUUUAAGGAGACAGACAAGUUCCUUGGCCUUGGACAUCUUUGUUAAUGAUUCCAAUUUAUAAAUUCUGAAAGUUACUAUUGUGUGACCGUGACCAUGACCAAGUUACUCAAUGUCUCUCUCUCUCUUUUUUUUUUUUUUGAGAUGAAGUCUUGCUCUGUCUCUCAGGCUGGAGUGCAGUGGCAAGAUCUUGGCUCACUGCAACCUCCACCUUCCAGGUUCAAGCAAUUCUCCUGCCUCAGCCUCCCGAGUAGCUGGGAUUACAGUUCAAUUACUUAUUGCCUCAGCUCAACAUCUUGUAGAAUUUAGGACUACAAAAAGAGAGGAAAAACAAAGGAAAGAAGAGUGGUUGUGGUAAUGAUUACUGCUGUGGUGAAAAUGUCCCCCAAAUUGGAUUGCGGUACAUUAAAAAAACAAUAACAAUAUAUCUAACAAAAACAAAGAGCCAUUAAUUUAAAAAAUGGAAGACAGAAAUGUCCAAGAACAUUCUCUUGGGGUUUGGAUCAGGACCCCUUUCUGGUAACAUCUUCCUGAUGAAUCCCAAAGAAGUGAUACUGAGGAGACCCCGGACUCAAAGGAAACAGACUGCAGCACUGAUUGGCUGACUCUGGAGCCAAGAAAACUUUCAAGUUACUUACAGCUUUUAUCAAUUGAGUAAAGUCUAUUCCUGUGA